GGUGAGGUUGGAGAGUGGUCAAAUCCUGCGGAUUGUAAAUCCGCCGCCUACGGCUUCGAAGGUUCGAAUCCUUCCCUCACCACCA
rnacentral:tRNA from 2 species